rnacentral:lncRNA from 1 species
CUGAGAAUCAGGCUUCCAGUUCAUGAACCUUUAGGGUACACACUCAAACCAUAACAAUCCACACCUUAUAAUAAAAGUAAUAGUAUCUUUCUUCAGGAUUGUCAUAGGAUGAAAUCAGUUAAUAUAUUUAAAGAGCUUGGAAUAGUGCCUGGUGAAUAAAUAGUAAAUGGCAGCAAGUAUAUGUAGCCCAAACCCUCUAUUGGCCUCAUGGCUCAGACCCCUCUCCUACUGCCCUUCAAAACUCUACAGGUGACUACACUCUUUAAUUUGUGAAAAUAUCAAAGCAGUCCAACAGAAGCAGUCCUCUCCAAGCACUGCCCUGCACAUCAGAAUGCCUCUAGCUUCACCUUCUUUCUUGCCACGGCCAGCACUUCCAUAUUUGAACCCUUCUCCCACCCUUGCCAAACUUUCCCUUUUCAACCAUCACCCCCUCCUCUUGCAUCUUAUUAACUAUUUAUGGAGUACCUCCUAUAUAUGCCCAAGCUGUUCAAAGUGUGGGGAUACAGAAGUAAACAGGACAGAAUCACUGCUCUCAUGGUGCUUUCAUUAGGGUGGGACAGGAGUGGAGGUACAGAUGUGCAAAAAGCAGUACAGGAGAAAACCACAAGUCAUCACAAGUAUUAUGAAGUGAACAAAGCAAGGUGAGUAUGAGAUGGUACAGCAGGUGGACUUGGUCAGGCAAGAUUGCUAUGAGGAGGUAAUAUUUAAGCUAAGACCUAAAUCUCAGGAAGCCAAAACAUAUGAUAUCUUGAUUUGAAUGGUGGUUACACAUUAUAUACCAAAACUCUAAAAAGCCAGUAAAGAUCCAGCAAAGAACAUUCCAAUCAAAGGAAAGAGCAAAUGCAAAGGCCCUAAGGGAGCAAAACAGUUUGUCAUGUUCCAGGGACAGCCAGGCAGAACACAGUGAGGGGGAGGAUGUGCUGGACAAAAGGUGAGCAGGGACAGGAUCACAGAGGGCCUGAGGGGACAAGGGCAGCAUUUUGCUUGACAUGCAACAGGAAGCCAUGAGUGCCUUUUCUCAGAGGAACGAUGUGAACUGAUAGGUUUUUU